rnacentral:rRNA from 1 species
ACGANACAUAGCNGACNUGAGAGGGUGAUCGGCCACACUGGACUGAGACACGGCCCAGACUCCUACGGGAGGCAGCAGUAGGGAAUCUUCGGCAAUGGGGGCAACCNUGACCGAGCAACGCCGCGUGAGUGAAGAAGGAUUUCGGUUCGUAAAGCUCUGUUGUUAGGGAAGAAUGAUUGUGUAGUAACUAUACACAGUAGAGACGGUACCUAACCAGAAAGCCACGGCUAACUACGUGCCAGCAGCCGCGGUAAUACGUAGGUGGCAAGCGUAGUCCGGAAUUAUUGGGCGUAAAGCGCGCGCAGGUGGUUUAAUAAGUCUGAUGUGAAAGCCCACGGCUCAACCGUGGAGGGUCAUUGGAAACUGUUAAACUUGAGUGCAGGAGAGAAAAGUGGAAUUCCUAGUGUAGCGGUGAAAUGCGUAGAGAUUAGGAGGAACACCAGUGGCGAAGGCGGCUUUUUGGCCUGUAACUGACANNUGAGGCGCGAAAGCGUGGGGAGCAAACAGG